UAGUGUUGUGAAAAACUUGCCCGUAC
rnacentral:piRNA from 1 species